AAUUGAUGUUGGCGUUACAUAGCAGGCGUAAAAAUCUUCUAAGUGGAAGACGUUCAUUCUUCCGUGUUUAUGGUGUAAGUAAACAAACCUAGCAAAGUGCUUCUAAAAAAAAAAUGCCGCAAAAUAUCAUAGACCCUCCACCGCCCGAAAACCAUCAUCUUGCUGGAAUGCCCACAAAUCUUUUAUACAACGGCUCUCGAUUCAACGGACAUCAAAAAAGCAAAGGCAAUUCAUACGAUGUUGAAGUGGUUUUACAGUAUGUUGAUCUAAAGAAUGCUUACCUAUGUGGCUAUCUGAAAAUCAAAGGGCUUACAGAAGAAUAUCCAAUACUUACAACAUUUUUCGACGGUGAAAUCAUCAGUGAAAAGCAUCCAUUUUUAACUCGUAAGUGGGAUGCUGAUGAAGAUGUGGACAGGAAACACUGGGGGAAAUUUUUAUCAUUUUUUAAAUUAGCAAAAAGUUUUAAUUCCGACACAUUUGACUAUGAUGAACUUCAAAAGACAGAUUGUGUAUUUAUGCGGUGGAAGGAACACUUCUUAGUGCCAAACCACAAGAUUACAGACAUAAAUGGAGCAUCAUUUGCUGGAUUUUACUACAUCUGCUUCUGGAAAUCUAAUUCUACCAUUGAAGGUUAUUAUUAUCACCGAAGUUCUGAAUGGUACCAGUCCUUAAAACUGGAACACGUCAGUGAACAGAGCGCCCCUGUCUAUGCAUUCCGAUGACAAGUGUGAGUUCUCAGUGUGGGCAUAGUGCGUAUGUGUCUAACUGCUUGCCUAAAAAACUGCAAUUGGGAACCGGCCAUCAUUGAAUCGUCUGUGAAGACCUUUGGUGAACAUGUCAGUCUAUAUAUUUGAAUAUAUAUAUACAGCCUGCUGUGCUCCUUCUCUUUUUUUCCCCUCCCUAUCCGCCACUCUUUACUACUCGAAAACUGGUGAUGACAGUCCUGCCUCCGGAGACUGGAAGGAGCAUACACACAUAUACACACACCUGCAAUUUUAGGCAAACUUCCUGCGGACAUUGGAGUUUUGUGACUGGCUAGUUGGCUGGUUGUCACUCUGUACCCUUAAUGUCUUCCCUUUUCUCACUCUGUACACAUUUACAUAAAUGUACACACACAUACAAACAUAUGCAUGUAUAUAUUUAUAUAAAAGUGUAUAUAUAAAUA
rnacentral:misc_RNA from 1 species